rnacentral:rRNA from 1 species
GACGAACGCUGGCGGCGUGCUUAACACAUGCAAGUCGAACGAAGUGGGAACGGGUGAGUAAUACGUGAGUAACCUCCCUCCUUUUUGGGAUAAGCCUUGGAAACGGGGACUAAACCGAAUAGAUGGGCUCGCGGCCUAUCAGCUGGUUGGUGGGGUGAUGGCCUACCAAGGCGGUGACGGGUAGCCGGCCUGAGAGGGUGAACGGCCACAUUGGGACUGGGAUACGGCCCAGACUCCUACGGGAGGCAGCAGUAGGGAAUCUUCGGCAAUGGGGGGAAACCUGACCGAGCAACGCCGCGUGAGUGAAGAAGGUUUUCGGAGUGUAAAGCUCUGUUGUUCAGGAAGCGGUACCUAACCAGAAAGGGACGGCUAACUACGUGCCAGCAGCCGCGGUAAUAC